rnacentral:rRNA from 1 species
UGAGGAAUAUUGGUCAAUGGGCGGGAGCCUGAACCAGCCAAGUCGCGUGAAGGAAGAAGGAUCUAUGGUCCGUAAACUUCUUUUGCAGGGGAAUAAAGUGCAGGACGUGUCCUGUUUUGUAUGUACCCUGAGAAUAAGGAUCGGCUAACUCCGUGCCAGCAGCCGCGGUAAUACGGAGGAUCCGAGCGUUAUCCGGAUUUAUUGGGUUUAAAGGGUGCGUAGGUGGUUUGAUAAGUCAGCGGUGAAAGUUUGCAGCUUAACUGUAAAAAUGCCGUUGAAACUGUCGGACUUGAGUGUAAAUGAGGUAGGCGGAAUGCGUGGUGUAGCGGUGAAAUGCAUAGAUAUCACGCAGAACUCCGAUUGCGAAGGCAGCUUACUAAGCUACAACUGACACUGAAGCACGAAAGCGUGGGGAUCAAACA